CAGCAGCCGCGGUAAUACGAAGGGGGCUAGCGUUGUUCGGAUUUACUGGGCGUAAGGGGUGCGUAGGCGGAUUGUUAAGUCAGGGGUGAAAUCCCGAGGCUCAACCUCGGAACUGCCUUUGAUACUGGCGAUCUUGAGUCCGGGAGAGGUGAGUGGAACUGCGAGUGUAGAGGUGAAAUUCGUAGAUAUUCGCAAGAACACCGGUGGCGAAGGCGGCUCACUGGCCCGGAACUGACGCUGAGGCACGAAAGCGUGGGGAGCAAACAGGAUUAGAUACCCCAGUAGUCCCUGUCUCUUAUAC
rnacentral:rRNA from 1 species